GAAUAUUGGACAAUGGGCGAAAGCCUGAUCCAGCCAUGCCGCGUGAGUGAUGAAGGCCUUCGGGUUGUAAAGCUCUUUUGGCGGGGACGAUAAUGACGGUACCCGCAGAAUAAGCCCCGGCUAACUUCGUGCCAGCAGCCGCGGUAAUACGAAGUUUUA
rnacentral:rRNA from 1 species